UUGAACGCUGGCGGCAUGCUUUACACAUGCAAGUCGAACGGCAGCAUGGGCUUCGGCCUGAUGGCGAGUGGCGAACGGGUGAGUAAUGCAUCGGAACGUACCCAGUCGUGGGGGAUAACUAUCCGAAAGGAUAGCUAAUACCGCAUACGUCCUGAGGGAGAAAGCGGGGGACCUUCGGGCCUCGCGCGAUUGGAGCGGCCGAUGUCGGAUUAGCUAGUUGGUGGGGUAAGAGCCUACCAAGGCGACGAUCCGUAGCGGGUCUGAGAGGAUGAUCCGCCACACUGGGACUGAGACACGGCCCAGACUCCUACGGGAGGCAGCAGUGGGGAAUUUUGGACAAUGGGGGAAACCCUGAUCCAGCCAUUCCGCGUGAGUGAAGAAGGCCUUCGGGUUGUAAAGCUCUUUCAGCAGGAACGAAACGGUCGGCUUUAAUAAAGUCGGCUAAUGACGGUACCUGCAGAAGAAGCACCGGCUAACUACGU
rnacentral:rRNA from 1 species